UAGGGAAUCUUCCACAAUGGGCGAGAGCCUGAUGGAGCAACGCCGCGUGUGUGAUGAAGGGUUUCGGCUCGUAAACACUGUUGUAAGAGAAGAAUGACAUUGAGAGUAACUGUUCAAUGUGUGACGGUAUCUUACCAGAAAGGAACGGCUAAAUACGUGCCAC
rnacentral:rRNA from 1 species